UACGGAGGGUGCAAGCGUUGUUCGGAAUUACUGGGCGUAAAGCGCGCGCAGGCGGUUUGCUAAGUCAGAUGUGAAAGCCCAUGGCUCAACCAUGGACGUGCAUUUGAAACUGGCAGACUUGAGUAGUGGAGGGGGUGGUGGAAUUCCCGGUGUAGAGGUGAAAUUCGUAGAUAUCGGGAGGAAUACCGGUGGCGAAGGCGGCCACCUGGCCACAUACUGACGCUGAGGCGCGAAAGCGUGGGGAGCAAACAGG
rnacentral:rRNA from 1 species